rnacentral:rRNA from 1 species
AAUGAACGCUGGCGGCGUGCCUAACACAUGCAAGUCGUACGAGAAAUCCCGAGCUUGCUUGGGAGAGUAAAGUGGCGCACGGGUGAGUAACGCGUGGGUAACCCACCUUCGAAUCUGGGAUAACUCCGCGAAAGCGGUGCUAAUACCGGAUAAGACCACAGCCGUUUCGGCGGCAGAGGUAAAAGCUGACCUCUCCAUGGAAGUUAGCGUUCGAGGACGGGCCCGCGUCCUAUCAGCUUGUUGGUGGGGUAAUGGCCUACCAAGGCAGCGACGGGUAGCUGGUCUGAGAGGAUGAUCAGCCACACUGGGACUGGAACACGGUCCAGACUCCUACGGGAGGCAGCAGUGAGGAAUUUUGCGCAAUGGGGGAAACCCUGACGCAGCAACGCCGCGUGGGUGAAGAAGGCUUUCGGGUCGUAAAGCCCUGUCAGGUGGGAAGAACCGUUUCGAUACUAAUAAUGUCGAAGCCUGACGGUACCACCAGAGGAAGCACCGGCCAACUCCGUG